rnacentral:rRNA from 1 species
CGCCCGUCACUUCGCUGGCGGCGCGCUGCUCGAUGGGGAUCGCAUCCCCGUUCGGGCAGGCCGGGUCGAG